rnacentral:rRNA from 1 species
ACAUGCAGUCGAACGGUAACAGAAGCUUGCUUCUUUGCUGACGAGUGGCGGACGGGUGAGUAAUGUCUGGGAAACUGCCUGAUGGAGGGGGAUAACUACUGGAAACGGUAGCUAAUACCGCAUAACGUCGCAAGACCAAAGAGGGGGACCUUCGGGCCUCUUGCCAUCGGAUGUGCCCAGAUGGGAUUAGCUAGUAGGUGGGGUAACGGCUCACCUAGGCGACGAUCCCUAGCUGGUCUGAGAGGAUGACCAGCCACACUGGAACUGAGACACGGUCCAGACUCCUACGGGAGGCAGCAGUGGGGAAUAUUGCACAAUGGGCGCAAGCCUGAUGCAGCCAUGCCGCGUGUAUGAAGAAGGCCUUCGGGUUGUAAAGUACUUUCAGCGGGGAGGAAGGGAGUAAAGUUAAUACCUUUGCUCAUUGACGUUACCCGCAGAAGAAGCACCGGCUAACUCCGUGCCAGCAGCCGCGGUAAUACGGAGGGUGCAAGCGUUAAUCGGAAUUACUGGGCGUAAAGCGCACGCAGGCGGUUUGUUAAGUCAGAUGUGAAAUCCCCGGGCUCAACCUGGGAACUGCAUCUGAUACUGGCAAGCUUGAGUCUCGUAGAGGGGGGUAGAAUUCCAGGUGUAGCGGUGAAAUGCGUAGAGAUCUGGAGGAAUACCGGUGGCGAAGGCGGCCCCCUGGA